GACGAGGACGACAUCCCAUUAAACCCAUUGGAUCUUGUUUGGGCUAAAUGCCGAGGCUACCCUUCCUACCCAGCCCUGAUAAUCAAUCCCAGAAUGCCCCGUGUAGGCUUCACACACAACGGUGUUCCAAUCCCUGUACCUCCACUCGAGGUGCUCAACCAGAAAGUCUUUGCUGAAGAGCAUCUCUACUUGGUAUUAUUUUUUGACAAUAAGCGCACAUGGCAAUGGUUACCAAGGGCCAAGUUAGAACCUCUUGGUGUAGACAGUGGCUUAGACCAAGCUAAGUUAACAGAAGGCCGCACGUCUGC